UAUCAUGCAAGUCGAGCGAACAGACGAGGAGCUUGCUCCUUUGACGUUAGCGGCGGACGGGUGAGUAACACGUGGGUAACCUACCUAUAAGACUGGGAUAACUUCGGGAAACCGGAGCUAAUACCGGAUAAUAUUUCGAACCGCAUGGUUCGAUAGUGAAAGAUGGCUUUGCUAUCACUUAUAGAUGGACCUGCGCCGUAUUAGCUAGUUGGUAAGGUAACGGCUUACCAAGGCAACGAUACGUAGCCGACCUGAGAGGGUGAUCGGCCACACUGGAACUGAGACACGGUCCAGACUCCUACGGGAGGCAGCAGUAGGGAAUCUUCCGCAAUGGGCGAAAGCCUGACGGAGCAACGCCGCGUGAGUGAUGAAGGUCUUCGGAUCGUAAAACUCUGUUAUUAGGGAAGAACAAACGUGUAAGUAACUGUGCACGUCUUGACGGUACCUAAUCAGAAAGCCACGGCUAACUACGUGCCAGCAGCCGCGGUAAUACGUAGGUGGCAAGCGUUAUCCGGAAUUAUUGGGCGUAAAGCGCGCGUAGGCGGUUUUUUAAGUCUGAUGUGAAAGCCCACGGCUCAACCGUGGAGGGUCAUUGGAAACUGGAAAACUUGAGUGCAGAAGAAGAAAGUGGAAUUCCAUGUGUAGCGGUGAAAUGCGCAGAGAUAUGGAGGAACACCAGUGGCGAAGGCGACUUUCUGGUCUGUAACUGACGCUGAUGUGCGAAAGCGUGGGGAUCAAACAGGAUUAGAUACCCUGGUAGUCCACGCCGUAAACGAUGAGUGCUAAGUGUUAGGGGGUUUCCGCCCCUUAGUGCUGCAGCUAACGCAUUAAGCACUCC
rnacentral:rRNA from 1 species